UACGUAGGUGGCAAGCGUUGUCCGGAUUUAUUGGGUUUAAAGGGUGCGUAGGCGGUCUUAUAAGUCAGUGCUGAAAUAUCCCGGCUUAACCGGGAAAUGGCCAUUGAUAUUGUAGGGCUUGAAUUACCAGGAAGUAACUAGAAUAUGUAGUGUAGCGGUGAAAUGCUUAGAUAUUACAUGGAAUACCGAUUGCGAAGGCAGGUUACUACUGGUGGAUUGACGCUGAUGGACGAAAGCGUGGGUAGCGAACAGG
rnacentral:rRNA from 1 species